UGACGUGGAAAAGAAGGGAAAACGGUGGUGCUCAAAGGGAACAGGAAAAGCGUACGUGGCCACUGGCUUGAGCCUUGAAGCUAGAAGACGACAAAAAUGAUUUGUUGGUCUAUCUAUUUCUUAAAAGAGCAAAGUACGUUAUGAGUAUGACAAUUGACAACACUUUGCUGUUCCUUUCACUGUCUCUAUAAGCCACCUUUUGUCCCAGGUACGUACUCGUCAAAACUAUGCUUUCUAAGAGUUAGAUUUUUAUUUGCUGAAUUGCCUUUUUGUUUACGAUCCAAUAAAACUUGAUAUAUCUGUGUCAAGUCUGAUCGAUGUUUCAUCCUCUUUUUUUUCCAGGUAUCAUCAUCAUGUGCUAGCCUUCAUCACAUUAAUGCUAACUCUCUCAAAUUCCAGUCUAGCUUCGGAGAAUAUGCUGCCUCCUCACUCCAUUUUUCCUCUCUACAGUUUGAUAUGAAGGAAUUACAUUCGGGUCACCGGCCAACCCGGAUCCAUAUAAAAAACAAAUAUAUCUAAUUUAAGUUAAAAAGGAAAGGACAUAACUGUUAGAGAAAGUACCGGUUCUGCAGGAAAGAACUUCUCACUUCUGAAAAAAAAAAAAAACUUUCCUUCCUUUAUUCCAAAAUAGAAAAAAACUCCUUCUUUCUCCGUGAAGAACUAACUACGGUGAUAGAUUCAUCAGAAGGACAAAAGCAAUCUUCACCGAAUACUGAAAUAAUCUUUUGUAAUAGAACAUCUGGAGAUAACAGCAUUCAACCCACUAGAGCUACUGCAACCCAAUUGCCAAAAUCACGGAUUGACAGUGGGAACACCAGGAUCGGAAGUAAUGGUAUAUACGCUGCUUUAGUUUUAAUUUCAUUCUUGUGAAUGAAUCGCGAGGCUGGCUAUGGACGGUUUCAGAAGAGGUAGAGGUAGGCCGAAGAAGUAUUGGGGAGAGG